UAGGGCAUUAGGGUUGCCAUAAAUGUUAGCGUGAUUUAGCUAAAGUUAGAACUGUUUACACUGAAAAACCGCACCAACAUUCACAACUAUCUUCCGACCUGCAUACUUAUUUUUUCUUUGCCGUUGUCAGUGAAGGAAAUGUGAGGUUAAACGUUAGCUUUCAGCUACUUUAGCUGCAAAAUUUUGGCUAAUACAAUACUGUAAUGUUAGCCUAGUAGACACAUUCUUGACAAGCAUCUGUAGAGAAAACGUCUGUAAAGUAAUUAGACCUACAUGUAGUGUACUUGGAGUAAAAAGUACAACAUUAGUCUUUGAAAUACACUGUAGUUGAAAUUUGCAGAAAAUGUUGUGACAUCUGUGCUUCUGGACUUGUACAAAAACAAAGGCAUUCACACCCAAGGGACUGAUAGCGAAUGAAUUCUGUCCAUUAAGUGCAAACCCAGAGAAGGAAUGCAACACUAAAGGCCCUGGGGAGGAUUGAGCUGCUCAUAAAGAACCUGCUCCCUGCCAUGACAAAAUUUUACAAACUUCAGGGAACAGAACCAAAGCAAAUGACAACAACAAAUCCAUCAAACUUAGCAGCAGUGAGCACAUCAGCAGUUUUUGCCAGCCCACCAGAGGCCUAAAAUGCACAUAUUGCAUGCUGGCCCCCCAAGCAGCAGGCGGCUCUGGGACUCACCAACCCCUCAGUGGACAGAGAGGACUUGAUAAAUGACUGGAGCAAACUUCUCUGUCACCAGUGAGGGAGGAGUCCCUCACAGUAAGCUACAUCAUCCUAACAGCAUUAUUCUUUUCAUGCCCGUAGUUGAUACUGCGUCCUGUGAUUGGUGUCAUGAUUUGGACAGGUUAAUUGGAAUCCUGAACUGGAAAAGUGCAGCUAUUGUUGCCCAGAGAUUCACCUUAAGGAGACCAUGAAUAUGUGUGUCAUGUCCAAUCCUUGACAUGAAAGCAUGAAAUGUUAACCAUGAAGUGCAGUUUGUACACAUGGUUAGUAAUGAUUACUUGCAUAUAUUUUGUCAGGAACAAGUUGCAUGUGCUCAGCACAUAAUACAAGACCUAUGAAUCACAAAAGUCUCAAUUCCUUUUGACGGUCAGUUUUCCUCACCUCCAACAUAUACAGGAGUUUAUUGUGAUUAAAAGUUUUCUUCAACAUGAACGCAACAUUUACUUAGCACUUGAGGAUGCAGCGAAGCUCACCAAGUUGCUUUGUACUAUUUAGGUCCAUUAUUAGAUUAGAAAAAGGUAACUUAAACACUGCAUAUCUCUAGACACAUAAAAACUUGUCCUCAGACCAGAGGACACCCAUAUGUUUAGUGACCUGCAAAAACACAACAAGAGCAACACCUUGAUAAAGUAGCAUAACAUGAUGGAAGGCCAGUUGACACCUUAAACAUAGCGUGUUACUUUCAGCAGAAUUAGAUUAAAUGCUAAUGCAGUAAGUGUAAAGGUAAGCAUAAACCAUGUUACUUUAGUUAUGUCUGGCUUUUAGGACAUGAUUCUUUAGCCACUUGUCAAGGUGUGGGACAAACGUGGGACCAUUACUUGGGAAUGGACAAUCUUCCUCAUCAGGGCAAAUAGGAGGCAUUGUCAGAUGGCCUUAUUGAUAAGUUAAUGAGGCACAAAACACUUCAUAGAAGACCCAUCCACCACCCGCCCCACAACCAUCUCCUCAAAUCAUUGAUUUACACAUUACUCACAUUGCAGAGUUUACAUUGCAGAAAGUGUCUAGGUAAUUAAACACAGCGCCCACGUGAACUAAAUGAAACUUAACCAUUUCCUUUCUUCUCAAGCCACAAUUAUCCAACAUGGUCUUGCCAACAUAUGUUUGCUGUAUUUUGUCAUUUUAUUUUGUCAGUGGACGAGCAGCAGGGAAGUCCCUAAUGAGAUCCAAAAUACUUGUUUCAUGUUUGAGCAGUAAUGCAAAUUACUUUUCCUUUUGGAACAUGCACAUGAGAGUCACAGGAAACACAGAGACAACAGAUCAAGAGUAAAAUGAAGUAUGCAAAUGUAAUCAUAUUUAUCAGGGAAUGCUUAUGGCAGAAAGCUAUUAAUUUCUCCUCUGCAUCUUGACACUUUAACAUAUGCAUCACCUGCUUCUCGCAAAUGAUUAUUUUUGUGUUUGCCAUCUCCGUUGACAGAGCAUUAUUUUCUUUUCCAUUUUGUCUUGUUAUUUUUGUAAAACUUUCUGUGUCUGAAGAGUGUAAUGGCCUCUGAUUGAAAUUUCAUUCAGAAAAACUAAGUGAAAUACAUGUUGUGUAUUUAAUGGAAAAAAUAAUUGCACGUCAGAUGAAACAAAGCAUGACGCAUAGUAACCAGGAUGACUGACUGAAAACACAAGUCAGCAAAGAGGUCAGGUUGUU